UACGUAGGGGGCUAGCGUUGUCCGGAUUUAUUGGGCGUAAAGAGCGUGUAGGCGGCCAGGUAGGUCUGGUGUGAAAACUCGAGGCUUAACCUCGAGAUGUCAUCGGAAACCAUCUGGCUAGAGUCCGGAAGAGGAGAGUGGAAUUCCUGGUGUAGCGGUGAAAUGCGCAGAUAUCAGGAGGAACACCGGUGGCGAAGGCGGCUUGCUGGGCCAGUUCUGACGCUGAGGAGCGAAAGCGUGGGGAGCGAACAGG
rnacentral:rRNA from 1 species